CGCCCAGACUGGAGUGCAAUGGCGCGAUCUCGGCUCACUGCAACCUCUGUCUCCCAGGUUCAGGUGGCUCUUCUUACUUUCUCCGCCUUCAAUGAAGCAUUCUCCUCUGCAUAUGCCGGGGGAAUAGAAAGAAUGCUUGGCACUCAGCUCCACAUGGGAGAAAUCAUGUCUACUUAAUGCAUCACUGUGUACCUCAUGCCUAGGACCUGUUGCAUAGAAGGAAAAUGGCUUUGUAAAGAAGCUUGAGCCUAAAUCUGGCUGGAUGACUUUUCUAGAAAUUACAGGAAAGAUCUGUGAAAUGCUAUCUCUUCUGAAGCAAUACUGUUGACCAGAAAGGACACUCCAUAUUGUGAAACCGGCCUAAUUUUUCUGACUCUUAAGAAAAUGAUUGCCCACACAUACUUCUACUUUUAAAUAAACAACUUUGAUGAUGUAACUUGACCUUCCAGAGUUACAGAAAUUUUAUCCCUAUUUAAUAAAUAAAUUGUAUGUAAUUUUCUCUAUA